AAGUAUCAUUAACUGAAUACAUAGGUUAAUGAGGCAAACCGGGGGAACUGAAACAUCUAAGUACCCCGAGGAAGAGAAAUCAACCGAGAUUCCGGUAGUAGCGGCGAGCGAAACCGGAUUAGCCCUUAAGUUAGUUCAGCGUUAGGUGAAGGUUCUGGAAAGUACCGCGAUACAGGGUGAUAGCCCCGUAACCAACAACGCUUUAUUAGUGAAAUCGAGUAGGACGGGACACGUGAUAUCCUGUUUGAACAUGGGGGGACCAUCCUCCAAGGCUAAAUACUCCUGACUGACCGAUAGUGAACCAGUACCGUGAGGGAAAGGCGAAAAGAACCCCUGUGAGGGGAGUGAAAUAGAACCUGAAACCGUGUACGUACAAGCAGUAGGAGCAUACUUGUUAUGUGACUGCGUACCUUUUGUAUAAUGGGUCAGCGACUUAAUUUUAGUAGCAAGGUUAACCGUUUAGGGGAGCCGUAGGGAAACCGAGUCUUAACUGGGCGAAUUAGUUGCUAGGAUUAGACCCGAAACCGAGUGAUCUAGCCAUGGGCAGGUUGAAGGUGAGGUAACACUUACUGGAGGACCGAACCGACUAAUGUUGAAAAAUUAGCGGAUGACUUGUGGCUAGGGGUGAAAGGCCAAUCAAACUCGGAGAUAGCUGGUUCUCCCCGAAAGCUAUUUAGGUAGCGCCUCGGACGAAUACUACUGGGGGUAGAGCACUGUUAAGGCUAGGGGGUCAUCCCGACUUACCAACCCUUUGCAAACUCCGAAUACCAGUAAGUAAUAUCCGGGAGACACACGGCGGGUGCUAACGUCCGUCGUGAAGAGGGAAACAACCCAGACCGCCAGCUAAGGUCCCAAAGUUAUAGCUAAGUGGGAAACGAUGUGGGAAGGCUCAGACAGCCAGGAUGUUGGCUUAGAAGCAGCCAUCAUUUAAAGAAAGCGUAAUAGCUCACUGGUCGAGUCGGCCUGCGCGGAAGAUUUAACGGGGCUAAGCUAUACACCGAAGCUGCGGCAAU
rnacentral:rRNA from 1 species